AUGAUAACUGGGUUUCGAAAAUUUCACUUUCUAGGGCCAUGGAAAUGAAGUUAUUUUAAGAGAGACUCUGUAUGAUGCUGUUAUAAAGAUGGACCAUACAUUCCUCGGUCCACGAGGAGGAAUUCUGCUACCUGGCAAACAACUAAAAGAUCUUGUUUUGACAUGGUCCUUUGUUGCUGACAAUGCCAUACGGUCACUGAUGGAGAAUGGUAACCAGACCAAAGCUAUCUCUUACUUUAAUGCUUUCUCUGAAUCUUGGCUGCCCUCUCAGUUGAUCAAGUGGGUUACCAGUCAGACUGGGAUGAGUGACAAAGCAAGGAGCCUGAAUGUUUCCACUCCUUUAGUUCUUCUCAGUGAGUUGCCU